UCUGGUAGUUAGAGCGAGGUGGAACCACCCGUUCCCAUCCCGAACACGGAAGUGAAACGCCUCAGCGCAGACGAUACUGAGGGGGUAACUCCUUGUGGAAAAUAUGCCACCGCCAGAA
rnacentral:rRNA from 1 species